rnacentral:rRNA from 1 species
UACGGGGGGGGCAAGCGUUGUUCGGAAUUACUGGGCGUAAAGGGCUCGUAGGUGGUCAACUAAGUCGGACGUGAAAUCCCUCGGCUUAACCGGGGAACUGCGUCCGAUACUGGAUGACUUGAGUUCGGGAGAGGGAUGCGGAAUUCCAGGUGUAGCGGUGAAAUGCGUAGAUAUCUGGAGGAACACCGGUGGCGAAGGCGGGUCUCUGGGCCGAUACUGACGCUGAGGAGCGAAAGCGUGGGGAGCGAACAGG